rnacentral:snoRNA from 1 species
UACCCCAUGAUAUUAAGCCGGCAGGUGCCUGCAAUCCCCACGGGCACCUGUGACUAUGAUUGGGAACAGCAAAGCUGCUGAUGUGUGUAUGUUGGGCAGCGCUCUUAUCCUGCGCGCUCGACAAAGAAUAUUCGGUCGACAUUU